rnacentral:rRNA from 1 species
UACGGGGGGGGCAAGCGUUGUUCGGAAUUACUGGGCGUAAAGGGCUCGUAGGCGGCCAACUAAGUCAGACGUGAAAUCCCUCGGCUUAACCGGGGAACUGCGUCUGAUACUGGAUGGCUUGAGGUUGGGAGAGGGAUGCGGAAUUCCAGGUGUAGCGGUGAAAUGCGUAGAUAUCUGGAGGAACACCGGUGGCGAAGGCGGCAUCCUGGACCAAUCCUGACGCUGAGGAGCGAAAGCCAGGGGAGCAAACGGG